AGUUUGAUCAUGGCUCAGAGUGAACGCUGGCGGUAAGCCUAACACAUGCAAGUCGAACGGCAGCACAGGAGAGCUUGCUCUCUGGGUGGCGAGUGGCGGACGGGUGAGGAAUACAUCGGAAUCUACUUUUUCGUGGGGGAUAACGUAGGGAAACUUACGCUAAUACCGCAUACGACCUACGGGUGAAAGCAGGGGAUCUUCGGACCUUGCGCGAUUGAAUGAGCCGAUGUCGGAUUAGCUAGUUGGCGGGGUAAAGGCCCACCAAGGCGACGAUCCGUAGCUGGUCUGAGAGGAUGAUCAGCCACACUGGAACUGAGACACGGUCCAGACUCCUACGGGAGGCAGCAGUGGGGAAUAUUGGACAAUGGGCGCAAGCCUGAUCCAGCCAUACCGCGUGGGUGA
rnacentral:rRNA from 1 species